rnacentral:rRNA from 1 species
UGAGGAAUAUUGGUCAAUGGACGUAAGUCUGAACCAGCCAAGUAGCGUGCAGGAUGACGGCCCUAUGGGUUGUAAACUGCUUUUAUGCGGGGAUAAAGUGGGGGAUGUAUCCCUUUUUGCAGGUACCGCAUGAAUAAGGACCGGCUAAUUCCGUGCCAGCAGCCGCGGUAAUACGGAAGGUCCGGGCGUUAUCCGGAUUUAUUGGGUUUAAAGGGAGCGUAGGCUGUCUGGUAAGCGUGUUGUGAAAUGUAGGCGCUCAACGUCUGAAUUGCAGCGCGAACUACCGGACUUGAGUGCGCAGGAAGUAGGCGGAAUUUGUGGUGUAGCGGUGAAAUGCUUAGAUAUCACGAAGAACUCCGAUUGCGAAGGCAGCUUACUG